GACCGCACAGUGGCUCAAGUGGUUUGAGCGUUAGGCUCGGAUGCAGGAGGUCGCCGGUUCGAACCCCGUCCGAGUCG